rnacentral:sRNA from 1 species
AUAGUAUAUAAAGUCUGGUACCAGGAACUGACAAGCAAAUUAACAAUUUUUUUAGACAUUUUUAUUUGCUGGUAUAUCAUCGAAUAAGACAAACAACAGAGAUCAUUACUUUGUCAAGAGAAUGGCGACCAACACCAAAAGUUUUACUUUGUUUUUGGCGCUGUCACUGCUAAUAGGCCAGGAGAACGUCAUGGCGGCAAAUACUGGACGUGUCACUCUAUCUUUAGACUGCUUGAACCAAGCAUUCAGAUGUUUGACAACGCAAAAUUCACCCCAAGCAUAUUCCUAUUACAGUACCAAGCAAUAUUGUUUAGCCUUAACCUACAACGACUAUAUCUUUAGCACUAAGACUUGUUUGCUAGACCAGAGCACUGGCAACACAUGCACAGAAGACGAAUACAACUCUAUUAAAAGUCAAGUCUGUGGCGCAUGCUCUCUGAUAGCAGGAACAGCAACUCUGCUUGUAACUUUCAUUGUGUAUAUCUUCAACAAGUAGUUGACUUUUAAUAUAAUUUGUACAUCUCAUAAAAUAGAGACUGUGUGUUUGUGAUA